rnacentral:rRNA from 1 species
AAAACGGAGAGUUUGAUCCUGGCUCAGGAUGAACGCUGGCGGUAUGCUUAACACAUGCAAGUCGAACGGGAUGCUUAGGCAUCUAGUGGCGGACGGGUGAGUAACGCGUGAGAAUCUGGCUCCAGGUCGGGGAUAACAGUUGGAAACGACUGCUAAUACCGGAUGUGCCGAGAGGUGAAAGAUUUAUUGCCUGGAGAUGAGCUCGCGUCUGAUUAGCUAGUUGGUGGUGUAAGGGACCA